rnacentral:rRNA from 1 species
GAAAGGCCAAUCAAACCGGGAGAUAGCUGGUUCUCCCCGAAAUCUAUUUAGGUAGAGCCUCGGACGAAUUCCAUUGGGGGUAGAGCACUGUUAAGGCUAGGGGGUCAUCCCGACUUACCAACCCUUUGCAAACUCCGAAUACCAAUGAGAACUAUCCGGGAGACACACGGCGGGUGCUAACGUCCGUCGUGGAGAGGGAAACAACCCAGACCGCCAGCUAAGGUCCCAAAAUAUUGCUAAGUGGGAAACGAUGUGGGAAGGCAUAGACAGCUAGGAGGUUGGCUUAGAAGCAGCCACCCUUUAAAGAAAGCGUAAUAGCUCACUAGUCGAGUCGGCCUGCGCGGAAGAUGUAACGGGGCUAAGCAAUAUACCGAAGCUGCGGCAGCAUAGUUUACUAUGCUGGGUAGGGGAGCGUUGUGUAAGUGGAUGAAGGUGAGUUGUAAAGCUUGCUGGACAUAUCACAAGUGCGAAUGCUGACAUGAGUAACGAUAAUGGGAGUGAAAAACUCCCACGCCGGAAGACCAAGGUUUCCUGUCCCAUGCUAAUCAGGGCAGGGUAAGUCGGCCCCUAAGGCGAGGCAGAAAUGCGUAGUCGAUGGGAAACGGGUUAAUAUUCCCGUACUUAUAUAAUCAGUGAUGGAGGGACGGAGAAGGCUAGGCAAGCUUGGCGUUGGUUGUCCAAGUGAAAGUGAGUAGGCUGAAGACUUAGGUAAAUCCGGGUUUUCAAGGCCGAGACACGAGACGAGCUCCCAAGGGAGUGAAGUUGUUGAUGCCCUGCUUCCAGGAAAAGCUUCUAAACUUAUGAUUAUAUGAACCGUACCCCAAACCGACACAGGUGGUCAGGUAGAGAAUACUAAGGCGCUUGAGAGAACUCGG